AAUGGGCUGCAAUCUAGUGGGCCGCUGUAGGAUUAUAAUGGGCUGCAAUCUAGUGGGCCGCUGUAGGUUUAUAAUGGGCUGAAAUCUGGUGGGACUGCUGUAGGAUUAUAAUGGGCUGCAAUCUAGUGGGCCGCUGUAGGUUUAUAAUGGGCUGAAAUCUGGUGGGACUGCUGUAGGUUUAUAAUGGGCUGCAAUCUGGUGGGCCGCUGUAGGUUUAUAAUGGGCUGCAAUCUAGUGGGCCGCUGUAGGAUUAUAAUGGGCUGCAAUCUAGUGGGACUGCUGUAGGUUUAUAACGGGCUGCAAUCUGGUGGGCCGUUGUAGGAUUUAAAAUAGGGUUGCAAUCUAGUGGGCCGCUGUAGGAUUAUAAUGGGCUGCAAUCUAGUGGGCCGCUGUAGGAUUAUAAUGGGCUGCAAUCUAGUGGGCCGCUGUAGGUUUAUAAUGGGCUGAAAUCUGGUGGGACUGCUGUAGGUUUCUAAUGGGCUGCAAUCUGGUGGACCGCUGUAGGUUUCUAAUGGGCUGCAAUCUUGUGGGCCUGUAUAUUUAUAAUGGGCUGCAAACUAGUGGUGUAGUUGCGAAUUUAGAGAGCAGUUUGACAUAGGACACAGUCACACACACACACACAGCCCCCGGUCUCCAGGAUCCCAAUUUAAUUCGCUUAUAUUUGCUGUGCCCAUGUAGUUCACUAGGAGAAUAGUUGCCUUAAAGGGGAAUUGCUACUGUUAGUCAGGAACCAUGGAUAACGUCAUUAAUAGUUGCCAUUAUACACAGAUUAGGUGUUCGCCUGGGCUACACAGCAGAACGUUGUAGUGAAUUUAGAGGGCGGACUGACAGGGACCCCAGGUCUCUUCACAGUCAGUGCCAACAGUUGUUUAUGCUUAACGCUUCAUGGGAAAUAGAAGAGUGUAGGACUAGUCUGAAACUGCCAGGGAAAUACUGGUGUGUGCGUGCAAGUCAUUAGAUCGAUAAGCUUGAGUGCACAGUGACGCCUGUUUGAAUUGCAUUGUUUUGACCUUACUUUUUACCGCCCACACACACACACACACACACAACUGCAUACGCACACACACACCUGCAUACAUACAUACACACACCUGCAUACACAAACAGACCUGCAUACACACACACACACACACACACACACACACACACCUGCAUACACACAUACACACACUUGCAUACACAAACAGACCUGCAUACACACACACACACACACACACACACACACACACACACACACACACACACACACACACACACACACACACACACACACACACACACACACACACACACACACACGCACACACACACACACACACACACACACACACACACACACACACACACACACACACACACACACACACACACACACACACGCACACACACACACACACACACACACACACACACACACACACACACACACACACACGCACACACACACACACACACACACACACACACACACACACACACACACACACACACACACACACACACACACAAACAGACCUGCACACACACACACACACACACACACACACACACACACACACACACACACACACACACACACACACACACACACACACACACACACACACUCAACCCGUCUCUGUCUACUGUAUAUACUGUAUGAAACCACAGUGUGUUUCCUUCUUCUGAAAAGACCCAAUCUGUGGCACAACCUCUUUCAGGUCCUAAUACUUACAUUAUUGUUUGCUUAAAUAGAAAUGAUUACCUUCUUACUAAAGCCAAUUCUAAAGUAUAGUUUCACCAGUCAUCUAACUCAGGCAUUUCAACGGUGGCGUGCUGGGAGACAAAUCCUCUACUUUCAUAUUGAAAUAUAACUGCGACUUUAUUCCCAAAAUGUGACUUAUCAAAAUAAAAUGUUAGUUUAUUCUCAAAAUAUUGCCACUCAAAACAUUGACUUUAGUCACAAAAAUGUUUUAAAUACUUUAUUCUGGAAAUAUCUACUUUAUUUACAAAGAAUUUCACGGUUUUAAAGUACUAUUCAUGCAAAAUAAAAAUCCAACUACCACCACCCAUCACUGUUUAUUUCCUCUUCACUUGUCCCUGAUACUCUUCCGUAGUGUUUGUGUUAGGUCGGGACUGAUCAGUUGGUAAUCACUGUUCAUUUCCUCUUCACUUGUCCCUGAUACUCUUCCGUAGUGUUUGUGUUAGGUCGGGACUGAUCAGUUGGUAAUCACUGUUCAUUUCCUCUUCACUUGUCCCUGAUACUCUUCCAUAGUGUUUGUGUUAGGUCGGGACUGAUCAGUUGGUAAUCACUGUUCAUUUCCUCUUCACUUGUCCCUGAUACUCUUCCGUA